rnacentral:rRNA from 1 species
AUACAGAGGGUGCAAGCGUUAAUCGGAAUUACUGGGCGUAAAGCGCGCGUAGGUGGUUUGUUAAGUUGGAUGUGAAAGCCCCGGGCUCAACCUGGGAACUGCAUCCAAAACUGGCAAGCUAGAGUACAGUAGAGGGUGGUGGAAUUUCCUGUGUAGCGGUGAAAUGCGUAGAUAUAGGAAGGAACACCAGUGGCGAAGGCGACCACCUGGACUGAUACUGACACUGAGGUGCGAAAGCGUGGGGAGCAAACAGGAUUAGAUACCCUAGUAGUCC